ACUGGCUGCGCUCUGCAUCCCACUCUCGCCUUGGCUUGGGAACAUUAUUAGUUCCGAAGAACGGAAACAACUGAGCAAGAUAAUUAUACAGCAGGUAUUGAACUUUUAAAGACGGCGAUCAAUCAGCACGAGGAGCCGGGCCAGAGCACCGUAACGGGCUUUUCUCCGCCAGACAGCCGGCGCGUACGACAGAGCUCUCCAGUGGGAAUACAGAAUGGCUCCCCUCCCCACAGUUGCUGACACGACCACCAGGCUUAACUGCUCUCAUGGACACUGUCAGCCGGGAAGACGAUCGGAAGCUGAAAUUAAUGAGAGCGGCCAGAGGUCAGCUUCAUUAAGGGCUGGCGGAGUAUAAACGCAGCGAUAAAACCACACCUGUCACGGGCGGCUCGGGUGAACCUCAGGGACAGGCCAGCGGGGUGUGGAGGAGGACGUCGUCACGGAGACGCAGGGCGGGUUGCCAGUAGCAACAGCUGACCUGUGGAGGUACUUGCCUCCUGGAGUUUUAGGGACGCCGGCAAGACAUCGUUACGUGCAUCAUGCUGGGAUAUAACGGCCUCACUUACGAAGAAUGAUUUCCAGUAACACAUGUAUAGCUACAGGAUUCGUUUGACGCUUGGAUAAAUGAUUUAAUGAUAGAUGUGUAAUUCCGGGUUGGGGUGUGCGGGCCGGACGUGGACAUGGGCCACGAUAACUUUGAAGAUGCGAGCAGCUUAUGCUUCGUCAACACAUGGGCAGUUAGCUGGGUGGCGACGGAAAUGGAGGAAUAUCGAAAAGCAUUGGCUAAUUAGCCUGCUGGGGAGUGAGGCUUCCGAGGGAGACUGGCUCCGGGGUCUCGCAUCGGGGGGACGGAGGUGGUCUGAUGGGUUGUCAGCUUUAGAAAACACACCUUCUGCUCCUUAUCAGAAACCCAAAAUCCACACUGGGUGUCCCACCCAGAAGCUCGCCCACUUGACGGUGACGCGGCCCACAGACUUUCCUUCUGCAGGGUCAGGAAUGAGACGUCUGACAGCGGGACAACGCAGCAAAUGUAGCGUGCUAGCGGCCAGUUCCGCAGGGGAACGGACCCGCCAGUCGCCUUCUACUGCAGCCUGAUGGGAAAUAACGAGAUGAUGUCACCUGUCAAACGGAUUACAGGAGCUCCUAACCCCUCCAUCCGCCUCGGGUUACAGACGCGAGGGAACGACCUCCAUCAGUACAGCCAGCAUCCUACACAAGUUCCCAAAAGGCUCCCAAACUGCCAUCAAAUUUACAUAUACAGUAAACGCUUUCGCAUCGUAAAAAUAACUCCAUCCUUCACCGAUAUAUAUAUAUAUAUAUAUCACUGAAUGAAUAAGCCUGACCUGAUCAUUCAGCUGUGACUCAUUCAUAUUGUUCUAUCUGCACUCAGUGAAUUUGUUAGCCUUAGUAUAUGAUGCGAGGCUGGGACUUAAACAAAGAGCGCAAUCCACCUCAAGAUGACUAGAGGAGCGGCAUCCAAGCGGAUCUGUGAACAGGUGAUAACGAGGUAAGGUAGCAAACCAGAGGAACACACUGACAAAAUUAGAUAAAAAAAAACCUGUGAGAUUCAGGAUUCGAGGUAUUCAAAUGUCAAAUGCAAUCAAAACGCAUUUUAAUUAUUACUUCCUAACACCUCAGAGUCACAUCCAAUUUUCAGAAGGAUUUUAUAAAAAAUAUAAUUAUUGAACAUUUACCUUUUUCAUGAACAGCCACAUAUCAUAAACAAGUCCUUCUCUUCCUCAUGAAAACGGAUUCAGAGUAAAUAUGAGUGCGUGAAGUGUAAACGGAAGACUUUCUGUACACGAAAGACCUAUUUAUAUCUAGUUAUAAUACUUCACAAAGUCACCUUUAGGAGGAUUCUCGCAGAAGCUUCUGGAAAGUGUGACGUUUCCCCUGCACUAGAGGACGGCAUCAGCGAAUCGUGGCCCUCUGUGUAAUCUCGAUUUGUGACUUGUGCUUCGUGGUCUGGUAAACAGAAACACCCGGCGACACUCACACCGUUCGAGGGUCGCCCUGCUGAAUUUAACCGGGGAUAUCGAUACGCUCUCCCGGGGCGGGCGCUUGUCUUCCAGGAUGGUGUGUCCUUACGAAGUUGGCAAUCGUAUACCUCUUGCAGCCCAGUAAUGAAAUUACGCAUCUUGUUAUGAUGUUCGUUAGGACGAUACCUCACUCGCUGUAUUACGGUAGCUUGGAGCGCUGGACUGUCGCCGCUCUCUCUGACAUAUCGACACGUUCUGUACAGAGCCGGCCAUCUGACAGAUGGGCUGUUGCUAUCAAACGCCAGCCCGUCUCUGUCUUUCGCCUCCUCUGAGCUCCUCCUGGCCCCCUCGUCUGGGUCCCAGGCUCAUUAGCAGCGGGAUGCCCAGCUGUGCCAGCUUCGCGCGAGGCAGAGCUGCAGAGACACCUCCCGUCCUCCGGGGGGCAGUAUGCCGCCUGCCCUGCCCCACACUGGAACCCGUCGGCUUCAUUCUGGGCCACGGCAUCAAAAGCAGCAGUCAGAAAAAGAAUGGGCAGACGAACGCGGGCACGGAUGCGGGCCCUGGCGGGAUCGGGGAGUGUGCCGGCGGGUUUCCGGGCCGGCCUGGCGCCCUCGUGAAUAAAACAUCUGAGCAGAGCCUGUGGUGGCGGCGUGGGAGGCUCAGACCUGGCAGGACUCAGACGC